GGUCUAGUGGUGUAAUGGUUAUCACGUCUCGCUCACAUACCGAGGAGGCUCGGAGUUCGAUCCUCCGCUGGAUCA
rnacentral:tRNA from 1 species